ACUGCUCAGUAACACGUGGAUAACCUGCCCUUGGGUCCGGCAUAACCCCGGGAAACUGGGGAUAAUUCCGGAUAACGCAUAUGUGCUGGAAUGCUUUAUGCGUCAAAUGGAUUCGUCUGCCCAAGGAUGGGUCUGCGGCCUAUCAGGUAGUAGUGGGUGUAAUGUACCUACUAGCCGACAACGGGUACGGGUUGUGAGAGCAAGAGCCCGGAGAUGGAUUCUGAGACAUGAAUCCAGGCCCUACGGGGCGCAGCAGGCGCGAAAACUUUACAAUGCGGGAAACCGUGAUAAGGGGACACCGAGUGUCAGCAUCAUAUGCUGGCUGUCCAGGUGUGUAAAAUACACCUGUUAGCAAGGGCCGGGCAAGACCGGUGCCAGCCGCCGCGGUAACACCGGCGGCCCGAGUGGUGAUCGUGAUUAUUGGGUCUAAAGGGUCCGUAGCCGGUUUGGUCAGUCCUCCGGGAAAUCUGAUAGCUCAACUAUUAGGCUAUCGGGGGAUACUACCAGACUUGGAACCGGGAGAGGUAAGAGGUACUACAGGGGUAGGAGUGAAAUCUUGUAAUCCCUGUGAGACCACCUGUGGCGAAGGCGUCUUACCAGAACGGGUUCGACGGUGAGGGACGAAAGCUGGGGGCACGAACCGGAUUAGAUACCCGGGUAGUCCCAGCCGUAAACGAUGCUCGCUAGGUGUCAGGCAUGGCGCGACCGUGUCUGGUGCCGCAGGGAAGCCGUGAAGCGAGCCACCUGGGAAGUACGGCCGCAAGGCUGAAACUUAAAGGAAUUGGCGGGGGAGCA
rnacentral:rRNA from 1 species